rnacentral:lncRNA from 1 species
ACAACCACAGGAAAAAAUGUCACUUCUAUUUUCAGAAAAGUAAACCAAGGCAUGUAGAGAUUAAAACAGCUUGUAUAAGUCCAUAGAAAUUGGAGUAGGGAUCAGAUUGGCCUCCAGGUCCAGGAAUCUUAAGGUUGAGAGCAAAAAGGAAACUAAGAAAUUGUUAAGCUCAUUUUUCUCACUUUAAGAUCGAAGAGACCUUGGCCCAAGAGUUCAGAGGACUUACUUGAAGUCAAACAACUUAUAAGGGAAGCUAACAGAGACAACAAGAGGGGAGGAAUCAUACCCCUCCUCUUACAUUUGCACAUAGUAAAAGGGGAGCCCUUUUCAGAGGUCAAUGGGCAGUUAUAUUCCCCAUAAAGGAUAUGAGAGUUUGGGGGCACACAUUGGCAUGGGGCAAGGCCAGCAGAGACUUGAGCUCAGCUGGAGUCUUGAAGAGCGGUCAGGGCGAGGCCAUGGGGUCAAGGGACUGGCCCAGGGUCACCCAGCUGGGAAGUGGCUGAGGCCGGACUGGAACCCAGGACCUCCUGUGUCUAAGUCUGGCUCUCCAUCCACUGAGCUGCCCAGCUGUCCCCUUGAAGCUCUUCUGACCUCCACUCGUUCCCUUCUCACGUCUGAGGCUCCCCUUCCCCGAUGGGUCUUGUGUGCAGCUCCUGGGACGUGAUGCAUCGUCCGCAUGGGUUCUCUGGGUUCGAGGCUCCCCUCUUCCUGAGCCUUCGAAUGGUCCCCCGAUGAGCCAUGCGGCCAUGUUCUGCACCCCCAGAAGUUCCUACGCAGGCCAAGCGCCGGAGGCCUGGACUUGACCGUGUUGGAAGCAGAGACGAAUCCCCGGACGUGGAGCAGAAUCAAUAGAGAAGAGACGGAGAGCGGAACUCUCGAAUACAGAACCCAGUAAGGAUGGUGCCAACUGGGAAAGGCCUUUGUUCACCGGAUGUUGAUGCUAGAAGGGCCUUACCAGGUGCGACAGUGAGGGGAGGGUCUGCAGAAUGCAGGGAGGGCCAGCUGUGCCCUGUGCCAGCCCCCAGGAGCUGCCCGCGUCACCCCAGGGCACAGGAGCAGCCCCAGGACCUAAUCCAGGACCCACCUUCUUCUGGGCCAAUCCACAGGGCAGUGCGUGUGCUGCCACACAGCAUGCCGUAGACAGAUGUACCCGUACCCGGCAUCCACAGACACGGACUGGGCAGCGGGGGCAGUCCUGCGGCAGGCCGGACAGAAGGGCCCCGAGACGCUCCCCAGGUUCCAGCCCCGCUGAGCGAAGCUAAUUGCCGAUUGGACGGCCGCCCCUGGCCGAGUCUGUAAAAAUCAUUUCCCGAAUAUUUACCCCAGCGAGCGAGCGAGCGAGGAGCGCGCCGUUAUUGCUUCUCCAGUUGUGAAACGCGCUUCGCACUUUAUAAUCCUCUAUGUGCUGCUCGCGCCGCUGGCUCGCCCGCUCGCCGGCCUCGAAGGCUGACAACUUUUACAAAGUGUCCCUCCUGGAAAACAUCUGGCCGGGCUCCAGGAUGGCAUUCCAGAUGUUAUGGCUUUAGCAGUCACACCGUGGACGGCAGGCCGGCCGGCCGAUGGUCCCCGAAUCCGGGCGGGUGGGGGCGGGUCCCCUUCGGAGGGUCUCCCAGACAGAACACCAGCCUUGCCCCGGGGCUUGGGGAGGCGCAUCCGCCCAGCAC